UAUAACUCAAAUUUGAAAUCUGGCACCUUCGGUGUCCGAGUUGUAAUUUGAAGAAGGUAUCUUUGGUUUUGGCUCUUGUCUAUGUUCCUUGGAACAGGACGUCACAGAGGGUGAGAAUCCCGUGCGAUGAGAUGCCCAAUUCCAUGUAAAGUUCCUUCGACGAGUCGAGUUGUUUGGGAAUGCAGCUCUAAGUGGGUGGUAAAUUCCAUCUAAAGCUAAAUAUUGGCGAGAGACCGAUAGCGAACAAGUACUGUGAAGGAAAGAUGAAAAGAACUUUGAAAAGAGAGUGAAAAAGUACGUGAAAUUGUUGAAAGGGAAGGGCUUGAGGUCAGACUUGGUUUUACCAGGCCAGCAUCAGUUUGGAUGGCAGGAUAAUAGCGGAGGAAAGUGGCACCAUUUCGAUGGUGUGUUAUAGCCUUUGUUGAUACUGCCUGUCUAGACUGAGGACUGCGUCUUUGACUAGGAUGCUGGCAUAAUGACCUUAAGCC
rnacentral:rRNA from 1 species